ACGCCUUAAACUAAUGAGUAAGGAAAACAAAGCGAGCGGUGGGAGCCGGUCGCAGCGCUGAUUUAUGAUGGCGCAAGAAUUUAUGGAGGGGUUAUAGGCUGGCCGAGCGUUGACGCUGCUUACUUCGCAGAACUCGCUCGUGCGGGCCUCCCGACCC